UACGAAGGGGGCUAGCGUUGCUCGGAAUCACUGGGCGCAAAGCGCACGUAGGCGGACUUUUAAGUCAGGGGUGAAAUCCUGGAGCUCAACUCCAGAACUGCCUUUGAUACUGGAAGUCUUGAGUUCGAGAGAGGUGAGUGGAACUGCGAGUGUAGAGGUGAAAUUCGUAGAUAUUCGCAAGAACACCAGUGGCGAAGGCGGACUCACUGGCUCGAUACUGACGCUGAGGAGCGAAAGCGUGGGGAGCGAACAGG
rnacentral:rRNA from 1 species